CAAGAACCCAGCCCCCAUAGUGUGAGGAGGCCUAGGACAGUUACAGAAGCCAUGUGUAGGUGUUCUGGCUCCAGCAAAAGUCUUAUCUGACAACAUCAACUACAUGUUAGUGGCCUUUCCUUGAAAUUGCUGGAGCUUGUGCAUCAUCAAAAUAAUGGCAUAAACCAAGGAAGAAGAAAACAAAAUUGAGGAAAUGGGAUCCAACACAAAAGAGAGACAACAGGAUUAAUUGAGUGUUGGUGAAAAGCCACAGCCUGUAAAUAAUGCAGUUCGAACUGAAAUAGACCAGGAGGCUCAAGGAGAGACUUCUUCAAGAAGAUAAAAUUGAUAGAAUGCCUAAGGAGUUUGAGUGCAUUGAGAAUAGAUUCAUAUCAGUUCUGGAGAACUGGGUGGAUACAUUAAUGGUUUGUCUUGGUCCAUUUUAUGCUGCUAUAACAGAACACCACAGACUGAGAAAUUUAUAAGGAAUAGAAGUUUAUUUGCCUCAUGUUUCUGGAGGCUGGGAAUUCCAAGAUCAAGGGGCUGCAUAGAUUGAGGUCCUUUUUGCUGACUCAUAACGUGGAAAGAGAGUGCACUGCAUAGAAGAAAGGAGGCCAAACUCAUUCUUUUAUCAUGAGCCUACUCCUGAAAUAACUCACUCUCAAGAUAAUGGCAUUAAUCCAUUCAUGAAGGCAGAAUACUCAUGAUGUAAUCACCUCUUAAAAGACUAACCAGAAUUGGCUACAGUUUCUUCAAGAAAAUACCCCAAUGGAAGAAAAAAAGGUGGAGGGAGAAACUGAAUGAAGAAAGGAUGAUUUGAAAUUACCAGAAAGUGGAACGUGGAAAAAACAGAGUAAAACUAGUUUGAGAAUAAAAUCUUAGGUUGUAACAUC
rnacentral:lncRNA from 1 species